AAUAGAUACCCGGUAGUCCAUGCCGUAAACGUUGGGCCGCUAGAUGUGGGGACCAUUCCACGGUUUCCGUGGUCGCAGCUAACGCAUUAAGCGCCCCGCCUGGGGAGUACGGCCGCAAGGCUAAAACUCAAAGGAAUUGACGGGGGCCCGCACAAGCGGCGGAGCAUGCGGAUUAAUUCGAUGCAACGCGAAGAACCUUACCAAGGCUUGACAUAUACGAGAACGCUCUAGAAAUAGAGAACUCUUUGGACACUCGUAUACAGGUGGUGCAUGGUUGUCGUCAGCUCGUGUCGUGAGAUGUUGGGUUAAGUCCCGCAACGAGCGCAACCCUCGUUCUAUGUUGCCAGCGGUUCGGCCGGGAACUCAUAGGAGACUGCCGGGGUCAACUCGGAGGAAGGUGGGGAUGACGUCAAAUCAUCAUGCCCCUUAUGUCCUGGGCUUCACGCAUGCUACAAUGGCCGGUACAAAGGGCUGCAAUACCGUAAGGUGGAGCGAAUCCCAAAAAGCCGGUCUCAGUUCGGAUUGAGGU
rnacentral:rRNA from 1 species